rnacentral:rRNA from 1 species
GAUGAACGCUGGCGGCGUGCUUAACACAUGCAAGUCGAACGAAGCAUUUAAGACAGAUUACUUCGGUUUGAAGUCUUUUAUGACUGAGUGGCGGACGGGUGAGUAACGCGUGGGUAACCUGCCUCAUACAGGGGGAUAACAGUUGGAAACGACUGCUAAUACCGCAUAAGCCCACGACCCGGCAUCGGGUUGAGGGAAAAGGAGCAAUCCGCUUUGAGAUGGCCUCGCGUCCGAUUAGCUAGUUGGUGAGGUAAUGGCCCACCAAGGCAACGAUCGGUAGCCGGACUGAGAGGUUGAACGGCCACAUUGGGACUGAGACACGGCCCAGACUCCUACGGGAGGCAGCAGUGGGGAAUAUUGCACAAUGGGGGAAACCCUGAUGCAGCGACGCCGCGUGGAGGAAGAAGGUCUUCGGAUUGUAAACUCCUGUUGUU